rnacentral:rRNA from 1 species
UGGGGAAUCUUGCGCAAUGGGCGAAAGCCUGACGCAGCGACGCCGCGUGAGCGAUGAAGGCCUUCGGGUUGUAAAGCUCUGUGGGGAGGGACGAAUAAGUCGGAGCGAACAGCUCCGAUGAUGACGGUACCUCCUUAGCAAGCACCGGCUAACUCUGUGCCAGCAGCCGCGGUAAGACAGAGGGUGCAAACGUUGUUCGGAAUUACUGGGCGUAAAGCGCGUGUAGGCGGCUCGGAAAGUCGGAUGUGAAAGCCCAGGGCUCAACCCUGGAAGUGCACUCGAAACUCCCGAGCUGGAGUCCCGGAGAGGAAGGCGGAAUUCUCGGUGUAGAGGUGAAAUUCGUAGAUAUCGAGAGGAACACCUGUGGCGAAGGCGGCCUUCUGGACGGUGACUGACGCUGAGACGCGAAAGCGUGGGGAGCAAACA